rnacentral:rRNA from 1 species
GAGUUUGAUCAUGGCUCAGAUUGAACGCUGGCGGCAUGCCUUACACAUGCAAGUCGAACGGCAGCACGGGAGCUUGCUCCUGGUGGCGAGUGGCGAACGGGUGAGUAAUGCAUCGGAACGUAUCCUGGAGUGGGGGAUAACGUAGCGAAAGUUACGCUAAUACCGCAUAUUCUGUGAGCAGGAAAGCGGGGGACCUUCGGGCCUCGCGCUCUUGGAGCGGCCGAUGUCGGAUUAGCUAGUUGGUGAGGUAAAGGCUCACCAAGGCGACGAUCCGUAGCAGGUCUGAGAGGAUGAUCUGCCACACUGGAACUGAGACACGGUCCAGACUCCUACGGGAGGCAGCAGUGGGGAAUUUUGGACAAUGGGGGCAACCCUGAUCCAGCCAUGCCGCGUGAGUGAAGAAGGCCUCGGUUGUAAGUACGUACUUCGUCG